UUGAAUUAUAUUUUGAUUUAGGGAAAAUAAAGGAAAAUGAUAAUUACAUUUUCCUUAGCUAGGUUUUGAAGAUUGAGGCAUUUAAAUAGAAAAUAAGAAAGAGGUUGAAGGCUCAUUUGGGAUGGAGGGCUGCCAAAUUAUAGAGAGAAGAGAGAGAGAGAGAGAGGGCGUGACCUAGAGAGAGAAGAAGAAGAAGAAAGGAAGAAGAAGAAGAAGAAAAAGGGUUCAAGCUAGGGGUUUGAGCAAGGAGGUUAUUGGAUUCUUGAUUGGAUUGGAUUCUUGAUUUUCUAUCAAGAAGAGGUAGCAAAUAGGAUUUCUCUAUGGCACGCGUGGUGACGUGAGGAGUUCUAUCGUCGUAGGGUGUAUGGCAUGGGGUAUCCUAUGGACGGAAUAAACGAUCACUUUAGGACGCCAUUUUAAUUAUGUUUUUAAGAGACUUUCUAAAUUAUCAGUGGGACUUAAUUAUUUAAUAUUGUUUCUUUUGAACUUUGCAUAAAAACUCAUAUUUUCUUUUUAAACUAAUGGGCCCAGCUUGCAUUGUUUUAAGCAAGUCCCCACUGAGACCUUUA